UUUCCGUAGGUGAACCUGCGGAAGGAUCAUUAUUGUAUAACCGAGGUGCGAGGGCUGUCGCUGACCCGAAAGGUCGUGCACGCCCGAGUGCCCUCACACACAUCCAUCUUACCCCUGUGUGCACCACCGCGUGGGUCCCCCUUUGGCUUGUUCGGAGGGGGGCUUACGUUUUCACACAAACUUUGUAUGCAGUGUAGAAUGUAUUUUUUGUUUUUGCGAUCACGCAAUCAAUACAACUUUCAACAACGGAUCUCUUGGCUCUC
rnacentral:misc_RNA from 1 species